rnacentral:rRNA from 1 species
AGUGAACGCUGGCGGCAGGCCUAACACAUGCAAGUCGAGCGGCAGCGGGUCCUUCGGGAUGCCGGCGAGCGGCGGACGGGUGAGGAAUGCGUCGGAAUCUGCCUUUUUGUGGGGGAUAACGUAGGGAAACUUACGCUAAUACCGCAUACGACCUACGGGUGAAAGUGGGGGACCGCAAGGCCUCACGCAGAAAGAUGAGCCGACGUCGGAUUAGCUAGUUGGCGGGGUAAAGGCCCACCAAGGCGACGAUCCGUAGCUGGUCUGAGAGGAUGAUCAGCCACGCUGGAACUGAGACACGGUCCAGACUCCUACGGGAGGCAGCAGUGGGGAAUAUUGGACAAUGGGCGCAAGCCUGAUCCAGCCAUGCCGCGUGUGUGAAGGAGGCCUUCGGGUUGUAAAGCACUUUUGUCCGGAAAGAAAUCCUGUCGGCUAAUACCCGGCGGGGAUGACGGUACCGGAAGAAUAAGCACCGGCUAACUUCGUG